rnacentral:rRNA from 1 species
GACGAACCGAGCGAACGUUGUUCGGAAUCACUGGGCUUAAAGGGUGCGUAGGCGGGCUGCCAAGUUUGGGGUGAAAUCCUCCGGCUCAACCGGGGAAGUGCCUCGAAUACUGGCGGUCUGGAGGGAGGUAGGGGCGUGCGGAACUAACGGUGGAGCGGUGAAAUGCGUUGAUAUCGUUAGGAACUCCGGUGGCGAAGGCGGCACGCUAGACCUCUUCUGACGCUGAGGAGCGAAAGCGUGGGGAGCGAACAGG